rnacentral:rRNA from 1 species
AUUGAACGCUGGCGGCAGGCCUAACACAUGCAAGUCGAGCGGGCGGCGGGCGGGUGAGUGAUGUAUGGGGACUGCCCGAUAGCGGGGGCUAACUACUCGCAACGGUGGCUAAUUCCGCAUAAUGUCGGAUAACCCAUAUGGGAUUAGCUAGUGGGUAGGGUAAGGGCUUACCUACGCGACGCUCCCUAGCUGGUCUGAGAUGAUGAUCAGUCACACGGGGACUGAGACACGGCCCAGACCCCAAUGGAGGCAGCAGUGCGGAAUAUUGCACAAGUGGCGCAAGCCUGACGCAGCCAUGCCGCGUGUAGGAAGAAGGCCCUAGGGUUGGAAAGGACUUCCAGUCGGGAGGCGUUACCGACAGAAGAAGCACCGGCUAACUCCGUGCCAGCAGCCGCGGUAAUAC